AGAGUUUGAUCCUGGCUCAGAACGAACGCUGGCGGCAGGCCUAACACAUGCAAGUCGAGCGAGACCUUCGGGUCUAGCGGCGGACGGGUUAGUAACGCGUGGGAACGUGCCCUUCUCUGCGGAAUAGCCACUGGAAACGGUGAGUAAUACCGCAUACGCCCUUCGGGGGAAAGAUUUAUCGGAGAAGGAUCGGCCCGCGUUAGAUUAGUUAGUUGGUAAGGUAACGGCUUACCAAGGCAGCGAUAGGUAGGGGUCCUGAGAGGGAGAUCCCCCACACUGGUACUGAGACACGGACCAGACUCCUACGGGAGGCAGCAGUGAGGAAUAUUGGACAAUGGGCGAGAGCCUGAUCCAGCCAUGCCGCGUGCAGGAAGACUGCCCUAUGGGUUGUAAACUGCUUUUACAGAGGAAGAACCACUCCCACGUGUGGGAGUUUGACGGUACUCUGCGAAUAAGGAUCGGCUAACUCCGUGCCAGCAGCCGCGGUAAUACGGAGGAUCCAAGCGUUAUCCGGAAUCAUUGGGUUUAAAGGGUCCGUAGGCGGGCAGUUAAGUCAGUGGUGAAAGUCUUCCGCUCAACGGGAGAACUGCCAUUGAUACUGAUUGUCUUGAGUUAUUAUGAAGUGGUUAGAAUGAGUAGUGUAGCGGUGAAAUGCAUAGAUAUUACUCAGAAUACCGAUUGCGAAGGCAGAUCACUAAUAAUAUACUGACGCUGAUGGACGAAAGCGUAGGUAGCGAACAGGAUUAGAUACCCUGGUAGUCUACGCCGUAAACGAUGGUUACUAGCUGUUCGGCCCGAUUAAGGGCUGAGUGGUUAAGCGAAAGUGAUAAGUAACCCACCUGGGGAGUACGUUCGCAAGAAUGAAACUCAAAGGAAUUGACGGGGGCCCGCACAAGCGGUGGAGCAUGUGGUUUAAUUCGAUGAUACGCGAGG
rnacentral:rRNA from 1 species